UACGGAGGAUGCGAGCGUUAUCCGGAUUUAUUGGGUUUAAAGGGUGCGUAGGCGGACACUUAAGUCAGCGGUAAAAUUGCGGGGCUCAACCUCGUCGAGCCGUUGAAACUGGGUGCCUUGAGUGGGCGAGAAGUACGCGGAAUGCGUGGUGUAGCGGUGAAAUGCAUAGAUAUCACGCAGAACUCCGAUUGCGAAGGCAGCGUACCGGCGCCCUACUGACGCUGAAGCAUGAAGGCGUGGGUAUCGAACAGG
rnacentral:rRNA from 1 species